rnacentral:rRNA from 1 species
CUAAUAGCGUAUAUUAAAGUUGUUGCAGUUAAAAAGCUCGUAGUUGAAUUUCGGGAUCAGUACGCUGGUCGUGCCUUCGGUAUGCACUGGUGUCACUGGUUCCUCCCUUCUGACGAACCGUCAUGCCAUUCACUUGGUGUGGCAGGAAAUCAGGACUGUUACUUUGAAAAAAUUAGAGUGUUUAAAGCAGGCUCACGCUUGAAUACAUUAGCAUGGAAUAAUGAAAUAGGACGUUGAUCUUAUUUUGUUGGUUUCUAGGAUUGACGUAAUGAUUAAUAGGGAUAGUUGGGGGCAUUAGUAUUCAAUUGUCAGAGGUGAAAUUCUUGGAUUUAUUGAAGACUAACUACUGCGAAAGCAUUUGCCAAGGGUGUUUUCAUUAAUCAAGAACGAAAGUUAGGGGAUCGAAGACGAUCAGAUACCGUUGUAGUCUUAACCAUAAACUAUGCCGACUAGGGAUCGGAUGAUGUUAAUUUUUUAAUGACUCAUUCGGCGCCUUACG